AUUGAAACACUGAUUCCUGUAUGAUCACUGAAGUUAAGCAAAAUUGAGCCUGGUCAGUACCUAGAUGGGUGACUACUUGAGAAUACCAAAUGAUGUA